GACGAACGCUGGCGGCGUGCUUAACACAUGCCAGUCGAACGGAAAGGCCCUGCUUUUGUGGCGUGCUCGAGUGGCGCACGGGUGAGUAACACGUGAGUAACCUGCCCUUGACUUUGGGAUAACUUCAGGAAACUGGGGCUAAUACCGGAUAGGAGCUCCUGCUGCAUGGUGGGGGUUGGAAAGUUUCGGCGGUUGGGGAUGGACUCGCGGCUUAUCAGCUUGUUGGUGGGGUAGUGGCUUACCAAGGCUUUGACGGGUAGCCGGCCUGAGAGGGUGACCGGCCACAUUGGGACUGAGAUACGGCCCAGACUCCUACGGGAGGCAGCAGUGGGGAAUAUUGCACAAUGGGCGGAAGCCUGAUGCAGCAACGCCGCGUGCGGGAGGACGGCCUUCGGGUUGUAAACCGCUUUCGCCUGUGACGAAGCGUGAGUGACGGUAAUGGGUAAAGAAGCACCGGCUAACUACGUG
rnacentral:rRNA from 1 species